UACGUAGGUGGCAAGCGUUGUCCGGAUUUAUUGGGUUUAAAGGGUGCGUAGGCGGCCCUGUAAGUCAGUGGUGAAACUCCGAGGCUCAACCUCGGAACUGCCUUUGAUACUGCAAGUCUCGAGUACGGGAGAGGGUAAUGGAAUAACAGGUGUAGCAGUGAAAUGCGUAGAUAUCUGUUAGAACACCAAUGGCGAAGGCAGUUGCCUGGCCCGUUACUGACGCUAAAGCACGAAAGUGUGGGUAGCAAACAGG
rnacentral:rRNA from 1 species